UACGGGGGGGGCAAGCGUUGUUCGGAAUUACUGGGCGUAAAGGGCUCGUAGGCGGCCAACUAAGUCGGAUGUGAAAUCCCCAGGCUUAACCUGGGAACUGCAUCCGAUACUGGUUGGCUUGAAUCCGGGAGAGGGAUGCGGAAUUCCAGGUGUAGCGGUGAAAUGCGUAGAUAUCGGGAGGAACACCUGUGGCGAAAGCGGCGCACUGGACCACAACUGACGCUGAGGCGCGAAAGCUAGGGGAGCAAACAGG
rnacentral:rRNA from 1 species